rnacentral:rRNA from 1 species
UGGGGAAUCUUGCACAAUGGGCGAAAGCCUGAUGCAGCGACGCCGCGUGAGGGAUGAAGGCCUUCGGGUUGUAAACCUCUUUCGGCAGGGAAGAAGCGAAAGUGACGGUACCUGCAGAAGAAGCCCCGGCUAACUACGUGCCAGCAGCCGCGGUAAGACGUAGGGGGCGAGCGUUGUCCGGAUUUAUUGGGCGUAAAGCGCGCGUAGGCGGCUCGGAUAGUCGGAUGUGAAAACCCAGGGCUCAACCCUGGGCCUGCACCCGAUACUGCCGGGCUAGAGGCAGGUAGGGGAGAGUGGAAUUCCCGGUGUAGCGGUGAAAUGCGCAGAUAUCGGGAGGAACACCAGUGGCGAAGGCGGCUCUCUGGGCCUGUCCUGACGCUCAGGCGCGAAAGCUAGGGGAGCAAACAG